CCUUUUCAGCAUGAAGCUGCGCAGCAGCCUUUGUCUUCUCCAUGGGUAAGCUUAGAGACAGAGGGCAGAUCCAUGAAGAGGCCAUCCCAGGCUCUUUACAAAGGCACACUGAACAGACACAAUGGCAGCGACAGUUGUACCCUCAUAAUAUACCGUGUGCUCACCAAAGACCAACGCACACCUCCCUGACCUUCAUCGAAGACCUGAGUAGUUCCAGAGCAGGGCUCGGAAAGUCUCAACCCUGCUCAAAAAGCCCAGUCCAGACUGCCAACCCUUCACCAAGAUAUCGUCCCAGCCUGCCUUUUCAGGUAAAUUUGUCAUUUUUCCUCAAAUGAACCCUACCCGCUAGCCUGGACUCCUCACCCUUCCCUAAACAUACCUGAUAUCUCUGGUAUUUGAGGUUGUUGUUGUUUUUCUGGAAUACUUUCCUCACCAUUUCUACCUAUUAGACCUAUAUUUCAUUAGACCUAAACUCAAAUACUAUGUCCCAUGAUGCCUUUCUUCUCCAACUCAGAACCUUUUCCCUUACCCUUUAGACUCCAGAAUAUGACACUCAACUAUAGGUGAUAAUGAUCACAAUAAUGACAACAAUAAAAACAAAAAGUUAACAGUAUAUACCAUGUGCCAGGCACUCUUCUAGGCAUUGUACAUAACUUGGUUCAUUAAUCCUCACAUCACCCCGAGUUAGGUUCCAUUAUUAUUCCCAUUUUCAUUUUACAGGAAAAGCACUGAGAAUUAGUUGCUCAAGGUCACACAGUCAGUCUGGCUCCCUCAUAGAAACUCAUAAGCACAUCCUGAUGGGCCCCUCACAGCUCUUUUGUAAUUAGUUUCCUUUAGACUAAAGUGGAAAGCUUCUGGAGCUCAAGUAACCAAGCUUCCCAUACCUUUAUAAACCUUCAGAUGCCUCCUGUCAGAUAGAUGCUCAGCAAAAAACCUAUGUUUAAUGAACAGCUACUUUAAACAUAUAAGGAUAAGAAUGCAUCUACCCAAAAGGGUUAAUUCAGCUUAAUUAAUAAUUGGUGAAUGAGAUUUUAAAAGACUAUAUCACUACAACUAUAGUGGGAAUGCCCAAAAGAGGGGUAAAAUGAACUUUCUCAGCCCAGUUGUAUGAAAGCAUCAAGCCAAAUAGAGUCAAUUCACCAAUGAUGUGCUUCAAGAGAAAGCAAUAGACUGAUUUUAAAAAAUAAAAGCUCUAGGUCAUAUGAUUUGUAUUUGCUUAUAGAAAGUAUUUAGUCAAGGCAUACUCCCUCAUCCAAAUAUUCACUCUCCCACUUCCUCUGUGUCUAUUCUGAAGCCACACUCAGCCACUUCCAACAUGGGAUACAACGCAGCCAGCAGGAGGUGGAACAGAGCACAAAUCACCACAGAUGACUGUAAUUCAAUCAGCAUAUAUAUUUACUUAACGCUUACAAUUUGCACAGGAACCUGCACAUAUACGAGGGCACAGAGAUAGUCUGAAAUCUCCAUUAUGGAGCUUAAAGACACUGACUUCAAGGACUCUAAAGGGGGCUGGGAAUGGCCUAUGAAGUGACCAGACUCAACCUGAGCCUACCUUGCAUCAUCGCAGUGUUUAGAUGCCACCUCCUCCGUUUCCUUGGGAUCACAGCUCUAAAGUGAGACAGUCUUUUUGGCAACCCAAUAAGAUCAGGCCCCUGCCUUAUGUUCUCAAAGCUCUCUGCCUUCUCCUUCAAAUUCGUAUACCAGUUUGUUUCUGUGGUUAUUUGAUUGAGCCUGUCUCCCCAAGUAGGCUGUAAGACUAAUGACAGCAAGGUUUCCAUCUCUUUUUUAUCUGCAGGACUCAACACUAUGCCUGGCAUGUAGCACACACUCAAAAAAUGAUGGACGAUUGCACAAAUAGUGGGCGUUUUAUACGAGGGGAAGCAUGACAUAGACACAGGUUCUUUCCCCAUUAGUGGCAUGAAACUAACCCUCUAUGCUUCCAUUGCCUUAGGUAUAAACUGAGGAUAAUAAUUGUAACUAUCACAUAAGGUUGUUUGUCGGGAAGAAUAAAUGAAUUAAUAAUGUAUGUAAAGUGCUCAAAAUUAUAUCUAGCACAUAGCUCUUCUACAGCAAGGGACAACAAAAAGGAGAUAAACUUUGGUCCCAAAAUGUUUUUUUUCCUUUCCACCAUCUGUCUCUGGGUGAAUCUGGACCCACACUGUUAUUAUUUCUCACACCUUCACCCUAAAGCCCGUCUAUGUAUACAAACAUCAGAAUAUGAGGUUGUAAAUGUCCCUAAUAAGACCAUGAUUUAGUUCAACCCUCUGAUUAUAGAGUACAGAUGUUGAUCCUACUCUCAGUUCUGCCUCUUUAAACAGCCUCCCUAGUCUCCUGAUGCCUUAGUAUCAACAUCCAUAAAAUAAAUGCCACUGGUCCCUGCUUUACCAAACCCAUUAUCAAAAUAUCAGAAGAUCCCUGAGGUGGGCCAUGUCUUUCUGCAACAAAGUACAUGAAAUAAGAAGCGAGUUACUGUUACUAGCACUGUAUUCAUUUUUUCUAUUUGAAUGUCUCAUGAACAAAAGAAUUAGAUUCCCAAGUUGGAUUUGUUUUUAGGAAAGGAAAGCACUCACCAGUUACCUGCAAAGAAUGAACCACACAAGUCCAUGAAAAGAAGUCCAGCAUAGAAACAGAAGUCCAUCAUAAAAAUGCACUGCAAGGCAAAAAACUCUGCAAAAAGCUGAAACAUAAAACUUUUAAAGUCUCUUCCUUGGCUCCCAAAACUUGGUUCUCAGACUUCUUAAAUGUCAGGGCACUUAAUUUAUAAACUGUUUUUUCCUAAAGACAGCAUUAAUUGUGAUACACAAACACAAACAAAUUGUUUAAUUUUGUUAUUUUUAGCAACAUUAUUUUCUUAAUCAUUUCCUCCCAUUAUAUCCAGUGACUCAGAAAACAAUAUCUACAUUCAACUUUAUAAUUUUUUAAAAAUAGGAAAAAGUUAUACAUUUCUCAAAUGCAUAAACAAUUCCACUUUGUUCUAAUUGCUUGUGGAAAUAGAAAUAUUCAAUGUUAAUCACAUAUGAAUUAGGAAAGUCAGUCUGAUUACAAAUCAGAAACACAACUGUAUUUAAAACUUGUAUUAUAUUCAGUCUAUUUUAAAUCUAUCAUGCUAAAUAGUCUAAUUAAAACAGAGUAAGAAUGAAUGUCUUUUGUUUCCUACAGUCUUUGGUUGAACAUGUUGUAAAAUAAAGUCAUUCUUCCUGUUCUUCAAGUUUUGAGUCCAUUAUAAAUCACAGAUUAUGAAGUCAGCAAAGCAUAAGACAAUAUACCUGCUUAACAAAUAUGGAGGCAAGGCUAAUCAUAGAAGUUAAGCAGAACCUGACAUCAGGUCUCUAUAGACAUCACUUAUUUCUACCCUAAAAAUACUUAACAAUUUUCAGUAUUUGAAUCCUCAUGAGAAUGAGGUCUAGAAAUGAGUAUGUUUUUUGUUUGAGGUGCUGUUUGCUCUGAAAUACCCUCAUGUGACAUCUCUUUACAGUUUAAUUUGAAGCUGGGAUUUAACAUACAGUCAACAAACAGCAGACUUUAUUUAUUUGACAAUUCGUUUAGAAUAGAAAUACUCUCUCACCCCUCUCAUGGGUAUAAUUAGAGUGAAACCAGUGGGAGCUUUUUGAUGGGCAAUUUAGGGAGAAUGGCAGACAAUAUUAGCCAUGUGUGUCUUCCCAUCUAAUUUGAUUACAACCAGAAUUUUCAUAAUCAGCCUAAAAAGAUAUCCUUCCAGAACUGACAGCUACAGCCAGCACAAAUGCACAUCUCUUGCUAGCAUUGUCUCAGUGACACAAUGCUUCUCUUCUGCCUGAGGUGAGUUCAUGUACCAGCAUAGACCUCACUGAGCUGGUUGUGUGACAGUAAACUAGUCCAACCCCUUAUAAAGCAAACAAAGGAAACACCAAGCCAAUGUUCUUAACACACAGAAACCUAAAAGGACACGUUAAUGGGGGAAAGGAGAAAAUGUGUCGCCCCAAAAUAACCUCAGUCCCUUAGUCUUACGCAAGCUGAGCAAAAUACUGUUAUGUUACAACAUGCAGCUAAAUAUAACCCUGUAGAACAUUUAUCAUUCAUCAUCAAAAGGUAGUCCUUAUAUAAAACGCAAAAACAGACUCACUCCAGAAUAUCACUUGAAUAAUACAUACUCCCAAACUGAAUGGUUUCAUGUUAAAAACUCCUGGUGCUGAGUUUCACUGCUUACUUCUGGGUAUAUCAUGAGCUUCAUUUCAUAAAACUUUCCAAAUGAAGAAAGAAAAUGAAAAAAAAGUAUGUUAUUUAAACCCAGGACUGAAUUGGAUCAAGUUUACAAGGCAAGGAACCAUAACUUUGUAAUGAAGAUGGUGACGCAGAUCCACUGUAACAGACCAGGACUGGAUGUUUAAAUCCUCUUAACACCUGUUAGCAAUUAUAGAAAGUCUUUAAAUUGCAAAUACAUUAUACUCCAAACAUUUAUCUGUAAAAGAUAAUAUGCGGUUUUUUGUUUUGUUUUGUUUUCUGUUGUUGUUGUUUAAAGUAGAGAUGGGGUCUACUAUGUUGCCCACGCUGGUCUCGAACUCCUGGGCUCAGGCAAUCCUACCGCCUUGGCCUUCCAAAGUGUUGGGAUUACAGGCAUGAGCCAUUGUGCCUUGCCAAGGAUAAUAUUUUGACUUCUGGAAAUAUUUUCCCAAAGACAAAAUCUUAGGAUUUUAAGUUUCCUAAGCUAGUCCAAACAUGAUAAUAUAUUCACUAUUAUCAUUAAAAUCAUAUAUCUAAAAUAAAAUGUAGUAGAAGACACUAUUUUCAAAAUUAAAACUAAAAUAAUUAAGUAAGUGUGUUAGUUUCUUAAGUUAAUUAUCUUCCCUCAAUGCUAAUACUUGAGGGAAAGCUAAAUUAGAAAAACUUGAAGAAAUCAAGGAAUACAUCUAUAAUGGCUUUAAAGUGAACCCUGAAUUAUUUCUAAUGUUUUGAUUGGUACUUAAUUAUAUACAAUUCUGCUUCAAAAUGCAUAACUUUCCUCAGUAUUUGGCAUUGUGAUUACAGCUGAUUUCAAAUCUGAGGCAGUGGAAAGCAGGGCAAAUAUGAGAGGAAAUUUUCUUGCUGUCACUGGAAGGAAAGUAAUUGAGGAGAAAAGUGAACAAGAAAGAUCAUAAACUUUCUGGGAAUAACAGGAGGAAGCCUACCAAACUUGCCAGGGAUGGAACCAAACUUGUGGGGGUUGCUUCCCAUGUACUUAUGGCAACUUUAGGCAGUCUGUGAUCUCCUCGAAGAGAGAAGGUGGUAGACCAGCAACCCAAUGUAUUUAUUUUAGUAACUAGAGUAUAUACUUAAGGAACUGUACAUAGAAUUGUUUUUAAAAUUAAAAUUUUAAGAAGCCUUUUCAUAUAUAGUCAUUUUAUUCUUUUUCAAAUUUCAGGAAGUUUACAGGUGAGAUGUUAUCCAAACUUCUAACACAAAAGCCACAAAGCAUGUGAACUAAAUCUCAGGUCUAGAAUCAUAGUAACUUGUAAGCUACUGUUCUUUGAACUCACUGAAGAAUAGAAAACUAACAAUGCACACAAACAAGGAACUGGUUGUUCUCUUCCAGUAUUUACAAGAGUUGUUGCUUAGAGAAAGCAGGAGAAACAAGAGUUUUGCCCAUCAGUCAGGUGUUUGCAGAAAAGAUUCUGUGGCAAUUUUUCUGUGCAUUAGCCCCAACUGUUCAAACAUGUGCCACAUGACAGUAUUGUCCUUCGAGAAGAUAACAGAAAUUAAUCAUCCUUUUUUCUUUUUUCUUUUCUUUUUGACAGUUUCGCUCUUGUCACCCAGGCUGGAGCGCAGUGGCACGAUCUCAGCUCACUGCAACCUCCAUCUCCCGGGUUUAAGUGAUUCUCCUGCCUCAGCCUCCCAAGUAGCUGCAGAAUUAAUCGUUCUUAAAUGUGCAUAGAUUUUUUUAAGUAAACAUGUUCCCUACAUACUUUAGCUUACUAACUUCCACAAACAGCAGAACUGAAACAAUUACAGCUUAAAUAAAAGUAACUUAAACCCAAUCAACAGAUCCAUUGCAUACAUACUAUAUAUAUAUAUAUAAUAUAUAUAUAUAAAAUAUAUAUAUAUAAAAUAUAUAUAUAUAAAAUAUAUAUAUAUAUAUAUAUAUAUAUAAAACAUACAGGAAGUUCACCCACCUUCCCUGCAGUAACUGGGAACUUCCCUCCUAUUCUGGCUCACUACUGUAGGCAGACCUCACUACUUCCAGAAAACAGCCCCCCUUCACCCUGGCCAGCAAUUUCUCACCCCCAUCUUCCUAUGAGCAACAAGACUUGAAUGGCAGGUUUCCUGGUAGUAAGGAAAAUGAAGAAGGAGGAAGGAAAAGGAGAAAAACAGAGAGCUUUCCACAGUUCUACACACCAGAUCUAAUCCCAGGAGAUCCCCCACUUUAAGUACUCCUCACAAAAACCUUUAAAGGUUAAGUAAUCAGAGCAUUAUGGCAGAGUAGCAUAAGAGAAAUCGGAACGAUACAGAUAACUGUACCAUGGAGAGCUUCAAGUGACAUUCUAAAAGGUGAGUUUUUAAAGUGUUUUUAAGUGUACGUCAGGUCAUUUCAGCUCCCUAAGAGACCCACAGGUCACGAAGAAUAAAAUUCGAACUUGCUCUCACAUACAAGCCCUAGCAGAGACUUUGGCCUCAUCGCCUGCAUUAUAGCCUUUUUAGCCACAGCAGCUUUGUCUUGGUUCCUCAGCCUUUCCUAGUUCAUUCCCACUCUAAAGCCUUUGUAUGUGUUGUUCUCUGCCUAGAAUGUUCUUCCUCUUUAUCAGCAUCACCACCCCAAAGAGGGCAUCUCUGAACUUCCAAUCUGAAGUAGCCAGCCAGUCACCAGCACAUCACCAACUUGCCAUUAUCACUGACCUCUUAUUUGUUUGUUUCUCCCAGCAAAAUCUAAGCUCUGUCAGGACAGGGAUUUUCUCUCUCUUGUCCAUUACCAUAUCCUUAGAGCUCAGAAGGGGUGUCUGGCCCAGGUGCUCAAUGACUGUUUGUUCAAUGAAAGAAUGAACAAAUGAAUCACACAAAAGGAGAGAGGAAAAUACUAUUUCCCAUUAAAAUGAAGAAAGAGUUUUUAUUAGAAGGGAAGGCCACAGCAGCCCUCUACUACCCUCUUUUGACUAAACUUCCAGGAAAUUCAUUACUAAGUUUUGGGCUUCAGUAAGUCAGAGUCAAUUUCUGUUACACACACCCAAAAAACUCCGACAGCCAACUAAGAAAGGAGGAAAAGGAAGGAAAAACAAACCAAUAGGAGAUUCCUUUCAUUCUUGUCUGAAGAAAAAAAACUUUUUAAAGCAAUAGGAGAGAAGUGAUCAGAACACAGGAAGGAGAAAGAGAUGGAACCAGUAGGAAAAACAAAAACAAAAAUGGAGAGGGAAAGGUACACAGAGACAACAAGAAAGAGUGAUAGAGGAGAAAAGAGGUAAGCGGUUAUUCACACAACAGUGUUCCCUUGCACUAUGGGUGUCGAAGUAAGCUGAGGGCUGCGAAGGUAGAGGCAAAGGACUGGAAUGCCAAUAAUAUAGGAGGCUCUUGGGCCUGUCAGUUCUGCCUCCUGUGACAAGUUAAUUUAUCCAGGUUUACCAGUAUGGUGAGGAUGGGGAGUGGAGAAGGGUGGGCUGGUUAGGUAGGUCAGGGAGAGAUCUUCUCUAAGAUGUAUCGGUUCCUAUAACUGAACAAAAAAAAAUCACUAUACAGCUCUACCAGAGCAGUUCUUCAGAGGAGAAAUUAUUCUCCGCAUUGCUAGAGUAACACAGUAAAAGUCAGAGACCUCCAAUCUCAUCCUGAAGUUCUUGUACUUAACCUGAGGUCUAGAUCAACCAAUGUUCCUUAAUAAAAAGGAGCAGGAGAGAGAUAAAAAUUUUUUAAAUUGAAUUAAUAGCGAGAAUUCGGUGAUCACCAUCGUGGUUAAAUCCCCCAAAUUUUAAUUGUAAUAAA